UAGAAACAUCGACCCUUCCAUCGCUUUUACUCCUAUUCUCCUUCUUCUUCCGUAAAAAAAAAAUAUUCUCCAUCUUCACACUUUUACAGAGAAUACUCUUUCAGAUGUGUGGAAAAUAGAUAGCAUAUUUAGUUAGAUUUUUUCAGAUUAUAUACGCUAAAAUCCUCUCCUCUAUCUUGAAUUAGCUAAUUUUGAGUUUUCCUCUAACACCUCUUUGUUUUAAACCUUUUCCCUUUCUGCUAUAUGUAAUUGCAGGGGAAGAUCACCAUUCACCAGAGUAGGGGAAGUAUGUCAAAUACACACCAGUAUUUCAUAUAAUCAGGCUAGCAAAAUCUAUUGUUCCAGGUAGUUUCUUGAAACAAGGCUUUCAGGUUUAGGAUUUUGUGUUAUUUGCUGUAUAAUCAAAAUUAAGGAGAGUGUUUGCUCUCUUUUGAAGUUUAUUUACUGGCAUUAACACAUACUGGACAAGAUCUGAUUUGUUUCGAUGCUUCAUCUAUUUGUUAAGCUUGAAUUUAUUAUUUUUCUCCUUUAAUCCUUAGUUUGAAAAAUUAUCUAAGCCUAUGUUUAUGUUUUUCGUUCAUGAAUAAAAUUUUUCGCUAACUGAAACGGAGUUUUGCUAACCCAGAUGUUACAAUAGUAGUAUAUUAGUACUGGAAUGCAAAUGGCAACAAUUUGAUGCUCCAUAAAAUUACUACGUUAUUUCUUUCACCACAACUUGGAUAUGAAUGAUUUUUUUUAUUCAAAGAGGAUAGGUUAUCCUACAAUUAAUGGCAAUAACUUGUUUAUUGCCUUUCAUUGAAGAGAAUUUGAAUAGAAAAUGAAAUUAUUGUAAGGUAAAUUUGACUGGAAAUGCUUACAUGUUCAAGUAACAAUGACGUUCUAAUUCUGUUAUGUUUUGAAAGGCCUUUUAUAGCUUCCGGUUAAGAGUUGGUUAAGCCUUUUUUCCCUUUCUUUCGACUAUACUCUCUGAUAAAUUUGAGAUCUUACAUAUGACUUCUUAUAGUUUGACCUAUCUUUAAACAUGACUUACUAAAUUUGUGAUUUCGUGAUUAACUGAAAAUGAAUCCCCUUUUUUUAGGCUGUUACUGUUCCAUGUUAGAAAAUCUAUUAUUGAGUAAUUGAAUGUAUGUUAUAUUUGAUUUCUCAUAACUCUAUUGGACAAAUUCCUUCAGAAAAUAUUUUCUUAGAAGAAACUUCUCAGUUAAUUCCAUAUUAAAUGUGGGUAUACUCCAACCUCUAUCCUGAAGGUUCUCUUCUCAAGUUCUUCAAGGAAUGGCUACUAGCUUGUAGCUGCAAUGUUUUUGUCUCUGUAGUGUCAGAUGCAUUAUGUUAUAUUCUCAAAAGUAGGUCAUAUGUUCAUCUUAUUGUAUUUUGAGAUUUCCCUCAAUCUUAUUUAAUGUCGUAGAAGAGUGAUACUUGGGAAAAGUUAAACUUUUUCGAUGGAGUAUUUCAACAGUAAAUUACUCCUAAAAGAUCAUUUUAUUAUGUUGGUAAUCAUUUUUUUGUGUAUUUUAAAGAUUAUCCUAUCUAAUAAGUUAUUUAUAUUUAAUUUUUUAAUUCCUUUUCAACUAUUUUGUGUUUUUGUUUUAAUUUCAUUUUACUAUGACUUUUCGUAUUCUGAUAUCUAGAGUCUCACUUGUUGACGAAAAAAGAAAAAUACACGUAGAGCUGAAAGUUUUGUGCUUAUAAAAUAAAAUAAGAGCUUGCUUGGACUUGGUGGCUCUUAUGUUCAACUGAAAAUUUAUGGUGACUUUUUCUUUAAUUUUUAGAAGUUUAUUCUGUUGUAUUGGAUUUUUACUAGGUUGAAGCUUUAGAAGUUCCAUUAAGUUGGCGGGAAAAAGAGCCGAUUAAGAAAAAGAUUGAAGUGAAAAAGCUUGUAAUUCUGAAUCAUGUAUGUUUAAUUAUAUGUUGAGGUGUUAUCACAAAAGUGUCAUACUGUCAUGAAUAAAAGUUGAAACAAGAACCUUAACAAAUUCUAGAAUAUUAGGUAUGUGGAGGGGGACUAGAAAAAGUUGAUAGGUUUAUGAAACACAAGAUGAGGUAAUAGUUUAUGCAACUUCUUGCUGAACUACCCUACUCCUCCUUUUACUAUGCAUGUCUAAGACCUCUAUGGGAUUAAAGGUUGUUAUACAACAGGCUUCAAGAAUUAAAAUAAAAUAGAUUCUCCAAAUUCAUGCGCUUCAUUCGAGAAAAGGGACCAAAUACUUUAAAUUUGUUGUUGGGGCCACUCAAAAAUUUUACAAGCUCAAAAUGUAAAUCAUUAUCAUCAUCAAGUUUUAAAUUAGGUAUCAAUUGUUGUAAUUAUAACUAAUGUGAAUAUAUCAAAAAGGUAAGUACUUUAAUUGAUGUUGUUACAAGUAAAAUCCCCUAUCUGAAAUAUAGAAAAUGAAACAUCAUUGUUUUUAUCUUGAUUUAAAUUAAUGUUGACUAUUAUUCUUUUUCUACUUUUGAUAUUAAUAUUAGCUAAAUUCUACUAGAUUUGGUCCGUAGGCCAUAAGAGGGGCCUCGUGAAUUUACAUCAAUGCUUCAUUUGUAUUUUCCGAUUGGUUUGCUUGUGUUGUUGCCCCUUUUUUAAAUCUUUCAUAAGUCGAGGGUCUACCAGAAGAAACCUUUUUGCCUUCUUAAAGGUAGGGGUAAGGUCAGUGUACACACUACCCUCUCCAUACCUCACUUGUGGGAUUACACUGAAUUUGUUGUAGUUCUUUCGUUUGUGUACUUAGUGGAGAAGCUCAAUUAUCAAGUAUCAUAAGUAGGAUGUUUCUUUGUAUGAUGAAAGUUUUAAUAAUGAUCUAUUGGCUAAUAAUUUAAAACUUCCAUGUUCGCAGAAUGGAGCGCAUAUAUCUUUGUUGGAUGCUCGAGAUGAGUUAGCUCCAUGCAAAAUCGAGCUGAAGGGAAAAUUAAACUAUCUUGAUACUAUAUUGGUCUCAAAACCUGUCAUACCCGAUCAAUGAUGGUUGUAGGGAUGACCUUUGCCCGCUAGAGCCUAGAAAGUGAAAAGGCAUCUGAAAGUAGUUUUAUUUUCUAAAGAUCAUUGUUUAUGCGAACUGAUAACUUGGAUACGAUAUUAUUUAUUGUGCUAACUCCAAUGCUCAGAUUAUAGGCACCAAAUCUACUAAACUUCAUCUUGUAAAAUAAAAGUAUACUAUCUCUAUUCAAGAGUCU
rnacentral:lncRNA from 1 species